rnacentral:lncRNA from 1 species
GCAGAUAGAUCUUGACCUGAUAAACAUUUUUACCCCAUGUCAGAUUUGCUCUAAAUGCUUUGGUUUUUGAGUUAUAAGCCAAAAACUGCAUUUUACCCCUAUGUUCUAUUUUUAGCCGUGGCGGCCAUCUUGGUUGGUUGACCGGGUCAAGCCACACAUUUUUAAAACUAGAUACCCCAAUGAUGAUUGUGGCCAAGUUUGGUUUGAUUUGGCCCAGUAGUUUCAGAGGAGAAGAUUUUUGUAAAAGUUAACGACGACGGACGACGACGGACGACGGACGACGACGGACGCCGGACGCAAAGUGAUGGGAAUAGCUCACUUGGCCCUUCGGGCCAGGUGAGCUAAUAAAAAGGUAAAUCAGAAGAGGGAUAUUUCAUUCCAUUUAGAGGUGACGCAACAUGGAAAAACCAUGUUGAAAAUAUAUUAAAUAGUGUUAAAAAGCAUCGAAGUGAACUGCGAAAACUCAAACAUUA